CCUACGGGGGGCAGCAGUGAGGAAUAUUGGUCAAUGGGCUUACGCCUGAACCAGCCAAGUCGCGUGAGGGAAGACUGCCCUAUGGGUUGUAAACCUCUUUUGUCAGGGAGCAAUUGGCGCUACGUGUAGCGUUAUCGAGAGUACCUGAAGAAAAAGCAUCGGCUAACUCCGUGCCAGCAGCCGCGGUAAUACGGAGGAUGCGAGCGUUAUCCGGAUUUAUUGGGUUUAAAGGGUGCGUAGGCGGAAUGCCAAGUCAGCGGUAAAAUCGCGGGGCUCAACCUCGCUCCGCCGUUGAAACUGGCGGUCUUGAGUGGGCUAGAAGUAUGCGGAAUGCGUGGUGUAGCGGUGAAAUGCAUAGAUAUCACGCAGAACUCCGAUUGCGAAGGCAGCAUACCGGCGCCCAACUGACGCUGAAGCACGAAAGCGUGGGUAUCGAACAGGAUUAGAUACCCUAGUAGUC
rnacentral:rRNA from 1 species